rnacentral:rRNA from 1 species
GGCCUCUUUACAAUGCCAUCGCUUCUGGAUGAGCCCGCGUCCUAUUAGCUAGUUGGUGGGGUAACAGCCUACCAAGGCCGCGAUGGGUAGCCGGUCUGAGAGGAUGAACGGCCACACUGAGACUGAGACACGGCCCAGACUUCGUAGCGGAAGGCAGCAGUGGGGAAUUUUGCGCAAUGGGGGAAACCCUGACGCAGCAACGCCGCGUGGACGAUGAAGGCCUUCGGGCUGUAAAGUCCUGUUCUGGGGGAAGAACAAGCAGCAGGCCAAUACCCUGCUGUCCUGACGGUACCCCAGGAGAAAGCUCCGGCUAAUUAUGUGCCAGCAGCCGCGGUAACACAUAAGGAGCAAGCGUUGUCCGGAAUUAUUGGGCGUAAAGAGCUCGUAGGCGGUCCCGAAAGUCAGCUGUGAAAGCACCAGGCUCAACCUGGUAGGGUCAGCUGAAACUUCGGAACUUGAGGGUAGAAGAGGAAAGUGGAAUUCCCGGUGUAGCGGUGAAAUGCGUAGAUAUCGGGAGGAACACCAGUGGCGAAGGCGGCUUUCUGGUCUAACCCUGACGCUGAGGAGCGAAAGCUAGGGGAGCGAACGGGAUUAGAUACCCCGGUAGUCCUAGCUGUAAACGAUGGAUACUAGGUGUAGGGGGUAUCGUACCCCUUCUGUGCCGUAGUUAACGCAUUAAGUAUCCCGCAUGGGGAGUACGGUCGCAAGGCUGAUACUCAAAGGAAUUGACGGGGGCCCGCACAAGCGGUGGAGCAUGUGGUUUAAUUCGUACGCAUACGCGAAGAACCUUACCGGGGCUUGUACAUCUUUUUGACCGCCUGGGAAACCAGGUCUUCUUCCUUCGGGAAGACAGAAAGACAGGUGGUGCAUGGUUGUCGUCAGCUCGUGUCGUGAGAUGUUGGGUUAAGUCCCACAACGAGCGCAACCCUUGUCCUUAUUUGCCUAGCUUGCUUGCAAGCGCUACUCUAUAGGUAGACUGCCGUAGUAUUAUACGGAGGAUAGGUGGGGUAUGUACGUCAAAUCCUCUAUGCCCCUUUACGUCCCGGGCUACACACGUGCUACAAUGGUCUGUACAGAGGGUUGCCAAGGAGCAAUCCGGUAGCCAAUCCCACAAAGCAGGCCUCAGUUCGGAUUGGAGGCUGCAAUUCGCCUCCAUGAAGGUGGAAUCGCUAGUAAUCGCGGAUCAGCAUGCCGCGGUGAAUCCGUUCCCGGGCAUGUACUACACCGCCCGUCUACACCACGAAAGUUGACGAUACCUGAAGUUACCGUACCAACCC